rnacentral:tRNA from 1 species
GCUGGGGAAAUAGCUCAGUUGAUAGAGUGCUUGCCUAGCAUGCAUGAAGCCCUGGGUUCAAUCCCCAGGAGCAGCAGCA